rnacentral:rRNA from 1 species
AAGCGGUGGAUGAUGUGGUUAAUUCGAUGCAACGCGAAAACCUUACCACCUUUGACAUGUACGGAAUCCUUUAGAGAUAGAGGAGUGCUCGAAAGAGAGCCGUAACACAGGUGCUGCAUGGCUGUCGUCAGCUCGUGUCGUGAGAUGUUGGGUUAAGUCCCGCAACGAGCGCAACCCUUGUCAUUAGUUGCUACAUUCAGUUGGGCACUCUAAUGAGACUGCCGGUGACAAACCGGAGGAAGGUGGGGGAUGACGUCAAGUCCUCAUGGCCCUUAUAGGUGGGGCUACACACGUCAUACAAUGGAUGGUACAAAGGGUCGCCAACCCGCGAGGGGGAGCCAAUCCCAUAAAGCCAUUCGUAGUCCGGAUCGCAGUCUGCAACUCGACUGCGUGAAGUCGGAAUCGCUAGUAAUCGUGGAUCAGAAUGUCACGGUGAAUACGUUCCCGGGUCUU